rnacentral:rRNA from 1 species
UAGACGUGACCGGCCACACUGGGACUGAGAUACGGCCCAGACUCCUACGGGAGGCAGCAGUGGGGAAUAUUGCACAAUGGGCGCAAGCCUGAUGCAGCGACGCCGCGUGAGGGAUGACGGCCUUCGGGUUGUAAACCUCUUUCAGCAGGGACGAAGCGCAAGUGACGGUACCUGCAGAAGAAGGACCGGCCAACUACGUGCCAGCAGCCGCGGUAAUACGUAGGGUCCGAGCGUUGUCCGGAAUUACUGGGCGUAAAGAGCUCGUAGGUGGUUUGUCGCGUUGUUCGUGAAAACUCACAGCUUAACUGUGGGCGUGCGGGCGAUACGGGCAGACUGGAGUACUGCAGGGGAGACUGGAAUUCCUGGUGUAGCGGUGGAAUGCGCAGAUAUCAGGAGGAACACCGGUGGCGAAGGCGGGUCUCUGGGCAGUAACUGACGCUGAGGAGCGAAAGCGUGGGGAGCGAACAGGAUUAGAUACCCUGGUAGUCCACGCCGUAAACGGUGGGUACUAGGUGUGGGUUUCCUUCCUUGGGAUCCGUGCCGUAGCUAACGCAUUAAGUACCCCGCCUGGGGAGUACGGCCGCAAGGCUAAAACUCAAAGGAAUUGACGGGGGCCCGCACAAGCGGCGGAGCAUGUGGAUUAAUUCGAUGCAACGCGAAGAACCUUACCUGGGUUUGACAUGCACAGGACGCCUCUAGAGAUAGGGGUUCCCUUGUGGCCUGUGUGCAGGUGGUGCAUGGCUGUCGUCAGCUCGUGUCGUGAGAUGUUGGGUUAAGUCCCGCAACGAGCGCAACCCUUGUCUCAUGUUGCCAGCACGUUAUGGUGGGGACUCGUGAGAGACUGCCGGGGUCAACUCGGAGGAAGGUGGGGAUGACGUCAAGUCAUCAUGCCCCUUAUGUCCAGGGCUUCACACAUGCUACAAUGGCCGGUACAAAGGGCUGCGAUGCCGUGAGGUGGAGCGAAUCCUUUCAAAGCCGGUCUCAGUUCGGAUCGGGGUCUGCAACUCGACCCCGUGAAGUCGGAGUCGCUAGUAAUCGCAGAUCA